UACGUAGGGUGCAAGCGUUGUCCGGAAUUAUUGGGCGUAAAGAGCUCGUAGGCGGUUUGUUGCGUCGGCUGUGAAAUCCCGAGGCUCAACCUCGGGUCUGCAGUCGAUACGAGCAAACUAGAGUGUUGCAGGGGAGACUGGAAUUCCUGGUGUAGCGGUGAAAUGCGCAGAUAUCAAGUGGAGCACCAGUGGCGAAGGCGAGUCCCUGGACAAUACCUGACACUGAGGCACGAAAGCUAGGGGAGCAAACAGG
rnacentral:rRNA from 1 species